CGGCCCAGCCCAGCUGCGCCGAACCGAGCCGAGCCGCGCGGCCAGUGUGUGUCCUUGCUCCUCGAGCGGCCUUGAGCAGUGCCCAGCGUUGAGGGUGAGGCUCGUGCUCCGGGUCUCGCGGACGGCCGCCUCGGGCGUCGGGUCCCGGAGAUUGGACAGACACCAGAGCCCGAGGACCGCGGAGUGGCCGGGUGGGGCUGGAGGGCGGCGCCGCGCCUUCUGGGGAGACACGGAGGUAUCAGAUAUGGAGGUUAAGGAGAAAAUGGUGCAAGGUCACCAGAAGAUGAUCCCUACGUAUGAGGGCUCAACCAGGGUAGAGUUGUUCUAGAUCUGGAUAGCAGAACAGCUUGCUUGACCGUGAGACAGUACACUUGAAGUUAAAGGAAAUUCUUCAAUGAAGAAGUUGACUGUGGCCAGACCUGGGAUAUGCUCCUGAUUUUAUACAGACUGCCAUGGCUCCAGAUAUAAAAGACCAAAUAAAAAGAGAUCGGUAAGAGGGAGGGACCAAGAUGGCUGACCAGAAGCAGCUGCAGUUGGAGGCUCCCAACAAGAAGAAAGAAAAAGGAUUAAGACCCAAACGUUGUUGAAAAAUAUUCAGAUCCUACAAGACACUGACAUGCCAGUUCCUCAGCUUUGAUGGAGAAACCAGCUUUCUCUUCUUGCAGAGAUACUCUUCAUGAAAAGUGGAGCUCCAAGAAGAAUAGACAUGAGGAAAAUAUGUAUUUUUACAAAAGGAAAUGUAUGGUGCAAUUAUAAACUGUAGCAUGAACCCAUAAUUGGAAGUCUACGUCUCACAGUUAUAGUCAGAAAUUCUGGUACAUAUGAAAUAAGUUCUUUCAAAAUGGGAUUCAGGUAUUAUUUAGAAAUGCAUCUACUGAAAAGAAACAUACCACAAAAAUUUUUGCUGAUUAUGGAUGAGAUCAUGGACAGUUUCAUCCAAAUUAUGAGCUAGAUUUGUCAGAUGUAGAGUCUCAAUCAGGUCACUUGAAAGACCAAAUGAUUUCCUUUUCAUCUGAAGGGUUCAGAGAGGCAGCUUUUGAAAAAGGCACUGUUGAAAUAUUCAAAGUAGCUGUUCUUAGCACAGCUUUGAUUUCUAAAACAACUAGGACUGUGGAACUACAUGAGGGGAGAAAAGAGAAACUGAAGAAUUGUUUGAAAACAUAAAUAUUCUUUACUUAUAUUACCACUCCAUGCUUUGUGAAAAAAAAAUUAUUUUAUGAAGUCAAGAAGUAAAUCAGAAGAAAACAGCAGGGAAAGUCAACACAAACUGGUUUAUCUAAUACUUUCUCAGUGUCCAAUUUGCAAUGCACUGAGUUCCCUGCUUAACUAUGUCUAUAUACUGGGGGCAGGGAGAGGAGUAGGUUAAAAAUAAAUAUGAGUUGCAAGUCUUUCUCCUCGGGCUGCUAAUAUUAAUAUACCUGAAUUUUAUGUUUGUUGUUAUCUUCCUUGUCUCUAUAGUUUUUGCAACUAGUGUAUAUAUGUCUAAACAAUCUAUUGCUUAAAUUUACAUAAUUUUCAACUUUACAUAUGUAGAAUCAUGCUGUUUGUUUCCUUCCAUACCUCAGUUUUUUCACUAAAAAUUGUCUUCUGAAAAAACUUGGAGGUAUCAUACUUCCUGAUUUAAAAUUAUAUUACAAUGUUAUAGUAAACAAAUACGUAUAGUACUUACACACAAAAACAGACACAGUGUAACAGAAUGGAGUGCAGAAAUAAAUUCAAGCAUAUACAGUAAACUAAUUUUUGACAGAGACACCAAGAGGAUACAGUGGGAAAAGGAUAGGAUCUUCAAUAAAUAGUGCUGAGAAAAUUGAAUUUCCACACAUAUGCAAAAUUUAUAAAAUAUAAGGCCUAAAACUAUAAAAUUCCUUAAAGAGAACACAAAAAGCUC